rnacentral:rRNA from 1 species
GCUUACGGCCAUAUCAGCCAGGGUUCGUCUGAUCUCGGAAGCUAAGCAGGGUCGGGCCUGGUUAGUACUUGGAUGGGAGACCGCCUGGGAAUACCAGGUGCUGUAAGCA